CUGUAUUACUCGCUCUCCGCCGCGGCACCCCCAGUCUCGCUAGAGAGAAAAGGGGAGGGGGCGGGUCGGCCAGUGGCCUUAGAAUUCAGAUCCACCCGCCCACCUCCCCGCCCUUGCAAAAUGUAUCUCUAGGAAUUACCCGGCCUAUCUCUCUUUACCUUUGUUUACUCGGCCGCGCGUAAGCGCACAGCGCACGAAUUUCCUCCCGGUGUUGCUUCCUUCCCACUCCUCACGGUUCGUGGAGCACACCACACCACGGCUAUCCCAUUCGUGUUUCCUCCGUUGAGGUCAAUUCGACAUUUCCAGCGUUCUUCCAAAAGCCAGCUGGCUCUGAAUGCUAAGUGGCAAAGGAACAAAGGCACAACUUCCAAAAGUAUUUGGAAAUGUUCUAGGAGUUGCUGAAACUGUUCUUUGUAGUUGUUGCCCAGAGGCCUGGAAGAGUACAUCAGGCUAUUGCAAGAUGGUAAUAGUUCCUGUGUUAAGACAUCCGCACAGUGCUUGCAAAUCUUUAUUUUUAAUGCCUGCCAGGAUUAUUAUUUGAUUAUUUUAGCAUCCUCAUUUGGCUUAACCUACUAUUGACCAAUACUAUAAUUACAAUUCUAUGAUACUCUGUAUCAGUUUAUAUAGCAUCAUAAUGGGGAUAUGGCAAGGGAAAUGCAUCUAAAAGAUAAACAAAACUCAAACAUCAUUGUAAACAGAAAUUUAAAUACACGCACAUUGCUCUUUUAAAACAGAUGUCCCCAAACUCUUUUGCCUAUUUACAUGCUGGCAUGCAUCAGGAUAUUGUAAGUAGGAAAAUAAGUGAGCACUUUCCAAAUAUAUAGAUUAGACAGUGGCCCUUAGUUUCUCCUAUUACAAUGCCUACCUCUGUCUUCUUCUACAUGCUUUCUACAAAGAAUACAUAUUAGCCUAAUAUGGAACUACAAAUAGUAGAAAUAGCUGUUCUCCCAGUUAUAAACUACUAGAGAGAUUUCACAAUGCUACAGUAAGAAUAAGGUCCAGGGGUGACAUUGUCCCAUUCAGACAAUCCAACAGACCAUGGUUGGUUGGACUAGGCAUGAGCCAUUGAGUCCCCACAUUUUACCAGAACUGUCCAGGAGUGCUGGCUGGACACUCCAAUUUUACUUUUGGCAUAACUUGGGGAAUUAGCUUGGCUAGAGGGAGCAGUUUGCUUUCAGUAUCAAUUUGAGCAAAUCUUACAUUUUGGAAAAGGACGAGGAGGCAGAAAUGCAGUUCAAACUUUUUAUUAAAGGUAAAAUGGGGUACAGGAAGGCAAAUGUUUAUUUAGGUAAGGCAAUAAAAUCUUAGCUAAUGUUCGAAGCGAGAAUCUUGCUGAACAUGAUUUAGCUUAAAGUCCAAAUUGCAGGUAAAUUGACUUGGCUAAGGCGGUUAGACCAGAGCGCAGCUUAAGGCUUGCCGUGGAAAGUGCUAGCUUAGUUGGCAAAGAGCUACUUGGAUAACAGGGUCACAGAAAGAGGGCAGGUGAGGAGGCAGAGUGUCUUGCCAUCCUGCUGGCAAUCCAGUUAUUUGCACUUUGAGCCAACCACCUCACUUUACCUUAUGAAAGGACCAGAUCUUUAUGU